UGGGGAAUAUUGCGCAAUGGGGGAAACCCUGACGCAGCGACGCCGCGUGAGUGAUGAAGGCUUUCGGGUCGUAAAGCUCUGUUUUAAGGGACGAAGAACUGCAGGAAUAAUACGUCUGCAGCGUGACGGUACCUUAAGAGGAAGCCCCGGCUAACUACGUGCCAGCAGCCGCGGUAAGACGUAGGGGGCGAGCGUUGUCCGGAAUUACUGGGCGUAAAGAGCACGUAGGUGGACCAUUAAGUCAGGUGUGAAAGACCGGGGCUCAACUCCGGGGUUGCACUUGAAACUGGUGGUCUUGAGGGCAGGAGAGGAAAGUAGAAUUCCUGGUGUAGCGGUGAAAUGCGUAGAAAUCAGGAGGAAUACCAGUGGCGAAGGCGGCUUUCUGGACUGUCCCUGACACUGAGGUGCGAAAGCGUGGGGAGCAAACAGG
rnacentral:rRNA from 1 species